rnacentral:rRNA from 1 species
GACGAACGCUGGCGGCGUGCCUAAUACAUGCAAGUAGAACGCUGAAGAGAGGAGCUUGCUCUUCUUGGAUGAGUUGCGAACGGGUGAGUAACGCGUAGGUAACCUGCCUGGUAGCGGGGGAUAACUAUUGGAAACGAUAGCUAAUACCGCAUAAAUUGAUUAUUGCAUGAUAAUUAAUUGAAAGAUGCAAUUGCAUCACUACCAGAUGGACCUGCGUUGUAUUAGCUAGUUGGUGAGGUAACGGCUCACCAAGGCGACGAUACAUAGCCGACCUGAGAGGGUGAUCGGCCACACUGGGACUGAGACACGGCCCAGACUCCUACGGGAGGCAGCAGUAGGGAAUCUUCGGCAAUGGGGGGAACCCUGACCGAGCAACGCCGCGUGAGUGAAGAAGGUUUUCGGAUCGUAAAGCUCUGUUGUAAGAGAAGAACGGGUGUGAGAGNGGAAAGUUCACACNGNGACGGU